UCACUCUCUCUUCACUCUCUCUACCGUCGCCCCUCCACCGUCGUCGAAAAUCUCUACCGCCGGCAGACCACCUCCGAACACUUCAAAUUCACAACAUGUAAUCUCUGCAACUUCAUCUUUCCAUAUCUCCAAAACCAAAUCCUUCAAAACCCCCCUCAAACUCCUUGAAUCUCAUAUCUAGGAAACUUUUUCGUCACUUUUUUGCCCAAAUUCUUGAAGCUCCAACCACUACCACCCCACAAUACCUACAUCAACAGAUAGAGCUCCUCAAGACCUAGCUAUUGAUGCCAAUUUCACCUGAAAAUCCGGCGACCAAAAUCCGACCAAAUUCCGGCGACUUCCCCGAACACCCUCGCUUGGCACACAACUAUUGUAUUGGCCACUUGAAUUGUAAAAUGGUAAUAAUCCUAUUCUUUUUGUAUUGCUGAUUUUUUAUUUUUAUUUUUAUUUUUUCAGAUUUUACUUUGUCUCUUAUUAAUUAUUUUAGCAUUAGUUUUUGAUGUUUGAAAUUCUAAUUUUUUUUGUUUUUGCACUUAUUGAAGUAGUAGAAUAGUUUUGUAUUAAUGAAAAUGAUGUAGUGAAAGAAUACUUGAGAGUAUAGGGUACUUGUUUGGAGGCUUAUUUACUGCUUCAAGACUUUUUUGAGUACAAAACUCAAAAGUCUUUUGUUUGGUAAGAAAAUAUAGACUUUUGGACAGUUUUUGAACAAAAGUCUAUCUUUGAAUAGUGAAGAGCAGAUUUUAGUUAAAAUACUCUUUUGGAUAAGAUUGAACAAAAAAGUCUUGCCUUUUGAAUUUAAGAGCAGAUUUUUGUGGCAAAAUCUGUCAAAAAAGAUUGAUUUUUAAUUUUGAAAAGUUGGUUGUUUCUCAUAUAAAUAGGAAGACAUCUUUUACACAUGGUGGUGGGAAAAAACAUUUUUUUUACACAUCUGAUAGAGUAAAAUAUCAGUUGAACACUCAUAGUAAGUUGCAAAACCUGAGAGCUGUUUGAGUGUUAGCCAAUCUUGUGGAAAGACUUAGCGAAGAUACUUAAAGUGCUUGAAGCCAAUCUUGUUUCUUUCUUUCUCAAGCCAUUGAAUUUUUGGUCAAGUUUUUGGUUUACUUUGGUUUAAAUUGUUGUUGACAUUGUUGUUGCGUUGCUGUUGUUACUGACUUUAUUUGUUAAAAUUCAUUUCGUUCUCGGUUGAUAUCUUAUUUUCUGCUGACCAGGUAAUUCCCUCAACUAAUGUACUACUUUUGGGUCAAGAAUGAAUGAAAAUGAGAUGAUUCAAGCUUCCUUAUUUUAAGCUAUGCCUUGAAUAACAUUCAGUUCAGGUACUAUGAUUGACGUAUGAAUGAGCAUUUGUAAUAUAAUAGCUAUCAAUAUGGCAAAGCUUUCACUCUGUUUUUUUUUUUGCCAAGUUGUUAGAUUCGGAAACACAAGUUAUGUUGUUGUUUAAACGGUAAAUUUCAUGGUGGGCAUAUUUUAGUUUAUUUUUUUCAAUUUAAAACUAUUUCCACUCUCCUUUCAAAUGUUGAAAAAAUAUUUUUCCUGUCAUUGGAUUAAUUGUUGAUGAAAGUGUGAAAAAUAUGUAGGUUUAAAUAAUGAGUAUGCUAGUAAGGUUUAGAAAGAAUAUUUUUUUUUGUGAGUGCAUGAAGUGUGCUGGUGAAGUUUUAAUGGAGAGAAUUAGUGGAAAGAAUAUUUUGGGUAGCUUAUGUCGGUUACAAUCCGUACAGUUAGCUCGUUAGUGAAAUUGUCCUCUGUUAAGUAGUAUCUUUAUUUGACAUUUAAUCUUUUGAAAUUCAUUGAAUAAUUACAUGAUGUGAAUCGGGAUGUUUAGUUAUUUUGUUCUUAAGAAAACUGGAUAUGUUGUGAUUUUUUAAUGAUAAAUGGAACAUGGUUCAUCAACAAAUAAAAAUAUUGUUUGAUUUGUUAGUGUUUUGUUAAAUCUUGAAAUAAGAUAUGUUGUCUUAGAUAAUCUGAUAUGUGGGAAAAAUUGAAUAUUGAGAACGAGACUUACUAAUUGCUUAAAUUGAAAUUUUAUUUGAGCAAGUUAACUAGGUAGUAGGAUUAAGUAAAUCAAAGUUUGAAUUAAUUAAUUAUUCUUUUCUAAAUCAUAACAAAGCUGGCCCAUAUCUUUUAACAAGCAGUCCCUUUUUACUUCAAUAAGAUAGCUUUUUUCUUUAAAAUAAUAAAAGUUGGCCCAACAUUAUUUUUCUAUAUUUCCCCCUACUAAUUAGUUCCAAAAUCAGAUUUUUUUACUAGUUUAAUAGCUUAAUAACCUUUAAUGAGUUAAUUAAAUACAAUGCAAUUUUAGGACGCUCUAAAUAUAGACAAUGUGUUCACACGAUCUUUGAUCGUUUUUUUAAAAUAAAAAUGGUCAUGUGUGCAUCACCUCUCCUUGACUCUAAAAUAAUAAUUCGUGUUUUCUAGUUAAUCGUAUUUGAUCAUGUGUUCAUAUCCGUUCCUAGGUCAAAUGCGCAUAAUCAAAUAAGGACCAUGUGUGCUUACACAUUCCUCGGUCAAAAUAAAUUAUUAAGCAGUGCUAGACAAUAGUAUUUUUUAAGGCAAAUAAAUCACAAUUUAUCAAGAAUUAAUUCAUGCCAAGUUCAAGUUAAUAAAGCGACCGUGCUAGAACCACGGGACUCGGAGAAUGUCUUACACCUUCUCCAUGGUUAACAGAAUUCCUUAUCCGAACUUUAUUUUCGCAGACCAACAUGAAAAGAAUUAAAUCUUCCUUUGAAUAAGGAUUCAAAUAAAAGGUGACUUGGGACACCGACAAAAAUCAAUUCCAAGUGGCUACUCUGUAAAUAAAUUAAUUCCUAUUCAAGUUUGUCACUUAAAUUGGAAAAACCCUUUAACCCACAAUCCAUAAUAUUACAUUAUCUUUUGGGGAUAAAAAGAGGUGUGACAGCUCUGACGACUCUGUUGGGGACCUAUAAGAAUUCGAUCUUGUACAUUGAUUAAUUUUGGAUUUUAUUAUUUUUGGAUAUUACUGUGUAUGUGAGCCUAAUGUACUAAUUGUCGCUCAUUUACUUUUUUGAUAUUGUUUUAACUGUAUAUAUAAAUUGUCUUCUCUCGCACCCAAUCUGACUCUUUUGAUAUGUAAUAGUGUUGUAUGUGCUGACUAGCUCCACAAAAUUUUCUGUCUAAGACAAAGACAGUGUG
rnacentral:lncRNA from 1 species